UCAAGUUUAUAAGGGCACACGGUGGAUGCCUUGGCACCAGGAACCGAAGAAGGACGUAGGAAUCUGCGAUAAGCCUCGGGGAGUCGAUAACCAGACUGUGAUCCGAGGAUUUCCGAAUGGGGAAACCCGGCUGGAGGCAAGUCCAGUCACCCCUGUCUGAACACAUAGGGCAGGUGGAGGGAACGUGGGGAAGUGAAACAUCUCAGUACCCACAGGAAGAGAAAGCAACCGCGAUUCCGUAAGUAGUGGCGAGCGAAAGCGGAACAGGCCAAACCAGUCAUGUGUGAUAGCUGUCAGGCGUUGCAUGGUUGGGGUUGUGGGACCUUUCGGUCAGCUCUGACAGGCUGACAUGGAGUCAAAAACUCGCGUCAUAGUCGAAGGGCAUUGAAAGGCCCGGCACAGAGGGUGCUACCCCCGUAGACGAAAUGGCGCGAACUCCAGAAAGCAAUCCCAAGUAGCACGGGGCCCGAGAAAUCCCGUGUGAAUCCGGCGGGACCACCCGCUAAGCCUAAAUAUUCCCUGGUGACCGAUAGCGGACAAGUACCGUGAGGGAAAGGUGAAAAGUACCCCGGGAGGGGAGUGAAAUAGAUCCUGAAACCGCGUGCCUACAAUCCGUCGGAGCCUCCUUGUGGGGUGACGGCGUGCCUUUUGAAGAAUGAGCCUGCGAGUUAGUGCUCGGUGGCGAGGUUAACCCGUGAGGGGAAGCCGUAGCGAAAGCGAGUCCGAAUAGGGCGAAUGAGUCGCCGGGUCUAGACCCGAAGCGGAGUGAUCUACCCAUGGCCAGGUUGAAGCGCAGGUAAGACUGCGUGGAGGACCGAACCCACUUAGGUUGAAAACUGAGGGGAUGAGCUGUGGGUAGGGGUGAAAGGCCAAUCAAACUCCGUGAUAGCUGGUUCUCCCCGAAAUGCAUUUAGGUGCAGCGUCACGUGUUUCUUGCCGGAGGUAGAGCUACUGGAUAGCCAAUGGGCCCUACCAGGUUACUGACGUUAGCCAAACUCCGAAUGCCGGUAAGUGAGAGCGUGGCAGUGAGACUGCGGGGGAUAAGCUCCGUAGUCGAGAGGGAAACAGCCCAGAUCACCAGCUAAGGUCCCUAAGCGUGUGCUAAGUGGGAAAGGAUGUGGAGUUGCCCAGACAACCAGGAGGUUGGCUUAGAAGCAGCCAUCCUUGAAAGAGUGCGUAAUAGCUCACUGGUCAAGUGAUUCCGCGCCGACAAUGUAGCGGGGCUCAAGCACACCACCGAAGCUGUGACAUUGACACUUUGCCCGGCCGUGAAAUCUACGGACUCACGGUCCAAGCGUGUCGAUGGGUAGGGGAGCGUCGUGUGGCCAGGGAAGCGGCGGAGUGAUCCAGCCGUGGAGGCCACACGAGUGAGAAUGCAGGCAUGAGUAGCGAAUGACGGGCGAGAAACCCGUCCGCCGAAUAACCAAGGUUUCCAGGGUCAAGAUAAUCUGCCCUGGGUAAGUCGGGACCUAAGGCGAGGCCGACAGGCGUAGUCGAUGGACAACCGGUUGAUAUUCCGGUACCGGCGAAGAACCGCCCAUACCGAACCUCGUGAUGCUAAGCGCCCGAAACACUGCGCGGUCUUCGGACCAAACGGUGUGGAGCGCGCGACCCGAGCGGGUAGUAGGUAAGCAAUGAAGAGACGCAGGAAGGUAGCCAAACCGCGGCGAUGGUUGACCGCGGGUAAGGGUGUAGGGCGAGGUGUAGGCAAAUCCGCACCUCACGUGCCUGAGACCUGACGCCGACCCAUAUUGGGGAAGUUGGUGAUCCUAUGCUGCCUAGAAAAUCUUCUAGCGAGGUUUUAGCCGCCCGUACCUCAAACCGACUCAGGUGGUUAGGUAGAGAAUACUAAGGCGAUCGAGUGAAUCGUGGUUAAGGAAUUCGGCAAAAUACCCCCGUAACUUCGGGAGAAGGGGGGCCCAGAGGGUGACAGGACUUGCUCCUCGAGCCCGACCGGCCGCAGAGACCAGGGAGAAGCGACUGUUUACUAAAAACACAGGUCCGUGCCAAGUCGCAAGACGAUGUAUACGGACUGACGCCUGCCCGGUGCUGGAACGUUAAGGGGACCGGUUAGCCUCACGGCGAAGCUGAGAACUUAAGCGCCAGUAAACGGCGGUGGUAACUAUAACCAUCCUAAGGUAGCGAAAUUCCUUGUCGGGUAAGUUCCGACCUGCACGAAUGGCGUAACG
rnacentral:rRNA from 1 species